rnacentral:rRNA from 1 species
AGAGCGAACGCUGGCGGCAGGCUUAACACAUGCAAGUCGAGCGGGCGUAGCAAUACGUCAGCGGCAGACGGGUGAGUAACGCGUGGGAACGUACCUUUUGGUUCGGAACAACCCAGGGAAACUUGGGCUAAUACCGGAUAAGCCCUUACGGGGAAAGAUUUAUCGCCGAAAGAUCGGCCCGCGUCUGAUUAGCUAGUUGGUGGGGUAAUGGCCCACCAAGGCGACGAUCAGUAGCUGGUCUGAGAGGAUGAUCAGCCACAUUGGGACUGAGACACGGCCCAAACUCCUACGGGAGGCAGCAGUGGGGAAUAUUGGACAAUGGGCGCAAGCCUGAUCCAGCCAUGCCGCGUGAGUGAUGAAGGCCCUAGGGUUGUAAAGCUCUUUUGUGCGGGAAGAUAAUGACGGUACCGCAAGAAUAAGCCCGGCUAACUUCGCGCCAGCAGCCGC